rnacentral:misc_RNA from 1 species
AAGUCGUAACAAGGUUUCCGUAGGUGAACCUGCGGAAGGAUCAUUAACACUCUUUUUCAAUGAAAGAGCUCAUUUUUUGAUAUCUUUGUUUUUUCUUUUGAGAAACUUGGAUUCAAAUUAUGGGUAUUCACCCCCUUAUAUUGACGAACGAAGAAAAAAAUUGAUUUUGUUUCAAAAGCAAAACUCAUAUUUUUCUAUCUUUUUUCUCUAUACCUUAUAUUUUUCAAAACCCCUUUUUUUACAAUAUGUCUUAGACUGAACUGAAAAAUUAAGAUAAACUAAAAAACAACUCUUAACAACGGAUAUCUUGGUUCUC